rnacentral:rRNA from 1 species
UACGUAGGGUGCAAGCGUUGUCCGGAAUUAUUGGGCGUAAAGAGCUUGUAGGCGGUUUGUCGCGUCUGCUGUGAAAAUCCGGGGCUCAACCCCGGACUUGCAGUGGGUACGGGCAGACUAGAGUGUGGUAGGGGAGACUGGAAUUCCUGGUGUAGCGGUGAAAUGCGCAGAUAUCAGGAGGAACACCGAUGGCGAAGGCAGGUCUCUGGGCAUUAACUGACGCUGAGGAGCGAAAGCAUGGGGAGCGAACAGG